CAUACUUCUGUUUAUUGUUGUGAUACUUUAUAUUGUGUUUUCAUAAGAGUCUCUUUUCUUCAGAUGUGUCUUCUUUUCCAAAAAAAAAGGCGUGAAGGAACAAGAUAAAGCGUCUACAAGAAAAGAGAAGAAGA
rnacentral:ribozyme from 1 species